rnacentral:lncRNA from 1 species
GUCUACACCUUGUUGGCAUGAGCAAGGAUCUCAUGGGUAAAAAGAUAUUUUAGCUAUGGAAAAAGUCUAUCAAAGAUGGACUGACUGGUAAAACAAACCUCUGUAAUUAGCAGGACCUUAGAGCUAAUGAUAGAGAGACCAAGCCCUAAAUUAGAGGCUAUACAAUCCAAAGGUCACUUGAUCAGCUGUUUGACAGGAUUACGUCUCUUCGUGCACCUCUUGAUUGCAGCUAUAGUUCAGUCUCUUAAAAUUUUAGUCAUCUGCUUCCUGACUCAGGGCAGCUGCUGCUACGGCUAAUGCUGAAGCAGAUAUGGCUGAACGAGGUCUAUCUGCGGUAGGCCAGAACUAGCAAGUCAGGUUUUCCUGUGUAAACCCUUACAGAGUCCGUGCAAAUCAGCACAGUGAGCAGCAGAGCCUAGCCGGAAGGUGCCAAACAAGACCGAUGUGUUCGUGAUAUGUCAUAACAGAAAGUGGGAAGUUCAGGUAGGCAUGUAAGGACAAUCAGCGCCUCUACUCAGAAAGUGUGUGGCUCGGCUGGGGAGAGCACCCUUGCUGUGAUAUCAUAGCAGUCUGCAUCAACAGCUAAUAAGUAAGCUCAUUUUCUGUCUGUCCUUAUCAUCCUUGGCAGAGAUCCCAGCUGUGGUGGGCUGGUGCCCUUCAGCUGCUGGUGGAGGAGGGCUUGCUGUUGGGGUUAGACCAUCACCCACGUAGCCUGGUUUAAAAUUAGCGAGGACGCUUCUGCAUGGGUGGCAGUUGCACCUGUGUGUUGCAGUGCAGAUGUGCUUGCAAUCAGGAGAGGGCUGGAGGGAGACGUGUUUUUCUCCUGUUGCGCAGGAGGAUAAGAUGAAUGGUCGCUUGAACACAGCUACAGCUUUCUGUGUGGAACUGCCCAACUCAAAGGAUUACUGUGCUGCUUUGAUCUUGAUGGGUGUCCUGAUGGAGCCACCAGCCACAUCAGGCACACAGGCUGCCCGUCUCCUCCUCAGCCCACCUGACCAGCAAAUAGCCUUUGUAAGGUCAGUCUUUCUUGGUCUGUAGGCAACCCACCAGUUGCCUUAACCAAAGGUAAGGAAGAAAUGUCCUCCUGUGAAAAUUGAGCGUUUGUUCCAAACUGAGGAGGGAUGGACAAACAUAGUUACAAAUAUCUAAAUCUUCUUCACUAUGGAGUUUCCU